UACGUAGGGUGCAAGCGUUAAUCGGAAUUACUGGGCGUAAAGCGUGCGCAGGCGGUUUUGUAAGUCUGUCGUGAAAGCCCCGGGCUUAACCUGGGAAUUGCGAUGGAGACUGCAAGGCUUGGAUCUGGCAGAGGGGGGUAGAAUUCCACGUGUAGCAGUGAAAUGCGUAGAGAUGUGGAGGAACACCGAUGGCGAAGGCAGCCCCCUGGGUCAAGAUUGACGCUCAUGCACGAAAGCGUGGGGAGCAAACAGG
rnacentral:rRNA from 1 species